AAUAAAUAAUAAUCAACUAAAACCUGCAAAUACUUUCCUUGUUUUGAUUGAAAUUUUAUAGUUUAAACCAAUAAUAACGUCAUGACAUUAUGAACAUACGGACGUCCCGUUAAUUUGAUUUCCCCGUGAAUUUACUUCGUGCACCCAUCGUGCAUUCAACUGGCUAUUUAUAUCAUUAUUAUCGUAACUGGAAAUUCCGUUGAAAAGUCACACCUGUCUGUAAUCACAUCACAACAUAAACAUCAUAUCAAUUCGACAAGCUGGAAGCUGGGAAGUGUCGAACAAGAGGCAGGUUCAUCGACCCUUCGAUUCCAUGUAUACGGACUGAGAUCUGGAUUAACCGGAAUUUGUAAAGACAUCUAAAAUGACUGGGAGUGUUAAGUUAAGUGAAAAACAUCGGAAAGCUCUUCAGAAACACAAAGAGUUCUUAAGCUACACACUAUCGGUUAAAGAGCUAAUUGAUGUAAUGCUAACAGACAAUAUACGCUUAUUUGAUAAAUGUGAACUUUCAGCACUGAUAACGGCUCAUUACAGAAACAGACAAGACGCAGCUCGUAUGUUUGUUGAAACAUUAAGUGAUUCGGAUGAACAAACGUACAAAAAGUUUAAAAUCUGUUUGAAAAGAGCUGGCUAUAAAGACGUCCUAAAGAGAUUAAAAUCUCCAAGUGUAAAAAAAAAAAUUUGUAAUAUUUUCAAGAAAAAUCCGAAGCCUGAUACCUAUUUACGAUUUGAAAAUGAAAGACUGAGAGACGAAAACAUGCGUCUGCAGAUACAGUUUAAAAAUAUUCCGCGGAAACAUUACGACUCAAUUUCAACGGAUGAUGCUGAAUCGGUUAUGUCGGACAAAACAGAAUCGGUUAUGUCGGACAAAACAGAAUCAAACCAGUCGGAUAACGGAAUCUGUGAAGAAAUAGAAAAACGCACAAGGGGAUUUCUUUGUCUAAUCUGUUGUGUGACAGUUGAGAAUAAAAAGAUGUAACCUUAUAUCAUGUCGUAUUGAUGGUAACUACGACAUUCUGAAAGUUGAAUCUCAAAGAGAAAUAGAAUUAAAGGGACUAUCUCGAUUUGACCAGAGUCUCAAAAAUAAAAGUCUGACGUAGGAAAUUUAAGUGCCAAAAUAUAUUGGGAUGGUGUAUUUACUUUGUCUCAAAAUUUCAGCUCAACAAAUUGAUUCGUUUGGAUGUGAACGUCAAAACUGCUUAUCCGGGCACGUAACCCUUAUAAGAUAUCGGGUCAGUUUUUUCGUUGGGUGACGCGAUAAUCGAAUCCCGUUCCUUUAGAGGUCUAUACAAUGACUGACUGACGGGUUUAAGUUGUUUGACAACGUAUCACAUAUAUUGAGUUAGUUGCUCGGCACUAAGGCAGAGAAUUUUAAGGGUGUGUAACACAAAAUUAAGCAGUUUUAUUCUCCAAAAUAUUAUCGGGAUUGACCCUUUAAAGAAAUGGUUCCACUCCGUUCAGUAUUUAGAGCGAUAUGACUUAGUGAAAAUGAAACAAUAUUCGACAUCCACUGCAGACGAUAUCAACAAGCCAGUGACAUCUAUAAAUGUUAAGAAAAAAUAUACUGUUUAUAGUUUGCUUUUGUUUUCUUAAUUUAUUGUUAUAUUAUUAUAUUUUGUACCUUUAGCGCUGUUUAUAUUAAAGAUACAUUAUGUAAGAUUUAGAUAAAGAGCUACCCAUUCUUGCUAUAAUAGUUCGAAAAAAGUUAAUCUAAAAUGAAUAAUUUGAAAAUUUCAUUCAAAUUACUCUAUUGCGAGCGAAGAUAUUAGCCUUUAAAGUUUUGACAAGAGGUGUGCAAUAAUUUCAACCACCGUACUGGUUGUUCGAAGCUAAAUCUCGCUCCUCCAUUUUAAGCUUUAAUCAAAAUAUGGCUGAAUUGUUCUAAUCUAUUUAAUAUCGGACAAAUCCGAUGCCAUCGGGAGUUGAUUAUGACCUGGAUAAGUUAAUUAAUGUCUAAUUAAUAAUUUAGAGAACAUUUCAGGCAUAUGGAAAGACCUUCAAUAGGCAGAAUUAGCUCUUGCAUAAUGUAUGUUAAGCCGUUAAAAGUUGUUAGAAUAAAGCACGAUACCAUUUAUAUUAACUGACAAAUACAUUCAAACUUGGGGGGUUGGAUGGCCGAAUGGUUAGCACGUGCGCGCUGUAUCACAAGGUCUGUCAUUGAAUCAAUUGUUGUGGUUUCGAUUCCCUAGUUGUACGGGACAAGGAGUAGGGUUGCCUGUCCAAUCUCGUAGGUUUUCCCCGGGUCCUCCGGUUUCCUCCCACUGCUAAAGAUCCCCUACGCGCAAGCGAAUUGUUGAAAUAAAAUUGAACCAUGUGUUAGUCCCGAAAUGACCUAGUUUGUGUCGAGUGGACGUUAAACCCUUCUCUCUAUCUCCCUCUCUCUCUCUCUCUCUCUCUCUCUCUAAAAGAUCUCGGUUACUUUCAAUAUUGGCAUGUAUCGGGCCGAAACUUCAUAAAUUAUGGCCUCUGAUUGUACGAAAAAUCACGUUUUUAGCUUGUGGACCCUAUAGAGGUCAAAAUUUGUAUCCGAUUUUGUUGAAACUUGAAAAGUGAGUUUAUAACCCAAAGAUCUCGGUUCCUUUCGAUAUUCGAGGAUAUCGGAUCGUAACUUCCUGAAUUAUGGACCCCGAUUGUACAAAAAAUCACGUUUUUAGCUUGUGGACCCUAUAUAGGUCAUAAUUUUUAUCCGAUUUUAAAAAAAAAACGUUUAGUAUAUCACCGUUACACACUAAGGUACGUUGAGAUCGAAUUUCGUGAAAAUCGGCCCAAAACUGACAGACAAAAUGGCCGUCCCUCGUUCUCAAAUAGCGUAAAAAUAUGGUAUAUCAAGGUUGUGGACCCUCUAGAGGUCACAAUUUUCUUCCGAUUGUGAUGAAACUUGAAAUGUACGUUUAUAACCCAACGAUCUUGGAUCCUGUCGUUAUUCGCGCAUAUCGGAUCGUAACUUCCUGAAUUAUGGCCCUUGAUUGUACGAAAAUUAUCGUUUUUAGCUUGAGGUCCAUGUAGAGGUCACAAUUUUUAACCGAUUUAAAAAAAAAUGGUGAAUAUAUCAUCAUUACCCACUAAGAUCUUGGUUCCUUUUGAUUAUCGCGUGUAUCCGAACAUAACUUCCUGGAUUAUGGCUCCUGAUUGUUCCGAUUUCAAAAAUAUUUUCAAAUAUUUCACCAUUCCACCAUAAUGACGGUUGAAUUCGAAUUUCGGGAAAAUCGAAAUGAAACUGCUCGACAAAAUGGCCGCUCUUUGUAUGCAAAUUGUGUAAAAGUAUGCAAUACGAAGGUUGUGGACCCUCUAGAGGUCACAAUUUUUAUCCGAUUCUGAUGAAACUUAAAAUAUAUCUUUAUAUCCCAAAGAUCUCAGUCCCUUUUGACAUUUGCACAUUUCAGACCAUAACUGUACGUGGCCGAACUUGUUUGGGGGGAGGGGCAGCAUAUUCUCCCGACAAAUAUAUUUCUUUAGAGUCCGCGAAUCCGUCCGGCCGCGAGCGCCGGAGGCGUAAACGUUCGAUGGGGGUUACUGGGGGCGCCCCCAGAAAAUUUUGAAAACCAGACGGCCGUAGACGCUAUUUCCAGGCAUUUCGAAUACUUUCUAGUAAUUUAGAGUGGGUAGUAAAUUAUGUCAGUUGCAGCAUAAAAACUGGUAAAAAGUCAUCUUUAAAAUACAAGCUCUAUUACUACGAAAACAAGAACAAGUCGAACGAUUUACUUUUGCCCCAUUUUAUGAGACUUCACAUUUUUAUCCAGAUCUCAGAAGACUUGUAUAUACUUUAUCUACUUUUAAUAUAUGAAUGGCCAUUUUAAAAGAGUUCAAAUUUGCAAUCUAUAUAUUCCGUAUUACGAUUUACUUUUGCCACGUUUUUCAUUAUAUGACAGUUCACAUUUUUAUCCAUAUCUAAGAUAGAUAGAUCUAGAAUCAAGAUAGAAGACUUUUUGAACUUGUAAAAUUUAUAUACUUUUAAUAUAUGAAUGACCAUUUUAGUUCAAGUUUAUUUACAUCUAGUGCACUAUAUUAUACCAAAAGAAGAAUACUUUACUUAUUUCACAUUUGAUGCGCGAUGAUGCAGCAUCAGAUUUUUCACUAAAAUUUCUCACUAGAAAAAAAUAGUAUACUAAGUUACUAAAAAUGAUAUAUAUCAUAUUAUGAUUUUAAACGCAAUUGCGCGAAAUAAAAAAACGCCAUGGAGUGGUUUCAAUUAGUACCGAUUAUCGACUGGUAUUGGCCAGAAAGUGCAAUGCACUACUAUCUAUAGUUCACAUAUAGAUAUGUUGUACUGGUUGGGGCAGUGGGGGGUAUCAGUGGUAUCUAUCAAUAUCUAUAUCUCCUCCUCUGGCAUCGACAGGUAGCAUAUGAAGUGUAUGUAUGGAUAGGGAAGGCAUAAACAGAGGGUUUAUACUGCUUUUCAGCUGCUCACUUCUAUCACUGGGCUCGUCCGGUCCAUGGAGUUUGAUGCUAGUAUACAGGAACACAGUACUCAAGAACUGAGAAAGGCCAUGUGUACGUGCUAGUUCUAUUCAGAUGGCGUACGUGUUCAUCAUUGACUGGACUGCUUUCUUUCCGCUUCCAUAUUAUUAAAAAUAUUCAAAACCCGACAGACGGCGCGACGCUUCCAGACAAACGGAGCAUUCAUUCCCGACAAGACCAUAGCCUUACCCGACAUGGCCAUACCCCUACCCCUACCCCAUUUUCAAAAACUCCUCGGCUAAUGACCGAUCUCACAAUUCUGAGCUCUUUUCAGAUUUCUAUUUUUUUUCAUGAAAAUAUUGGCCUCGUACGCCUAUGAUUGCCCCUGAUUGUACAAAAUAUCGUUUUUGUUUUUAGCUUGUUCUCUAUCCAUCUCUUGCAAAUUGUGGGCGUAUCCUGCCUGGCAGCCGCUGGUAAUAUAACCUUAUUAUGCUCGGAAGCACAUACGUAAUCUUUAACGGGACUGAUAGUGAAUUGACGAUUCAUCAAUAAGGCUUCCGAGGAUAUAUGGUCCAAACAGAUGUCAGCGUACAAUGUUUACGCUUACGGGUUAUUACUGGGAUAUCUUGUGAUUGCCUUGAAAACAAGCCUUUCAUGUUCUUCCUUGGUUGGCAAGCGUUGGGGCAUACUAAACGUACGUUUUCUGUCUACUAUUCACUCUGCUUAAGAACAGAUACUAGCUAGUUGACCGACAUUUUAGGUCCCAAGUAUAUUUGGAGAAUUUUGAGAAGUAUAUAUUCUGCUUUUAUUUAUUAAGAUUGAAAAGGUUUAAUGAGUCUUUUUGUGUAUAACAGAUUUGAACCAGAUUAGCACCGCAUUGCAAAGCAGUAUGUUGACGAUUUAAACAUGCAUUAUGCAAGAGCAAAAUCUGCUUAUUACAAGUCUUUCUUUUGGCCUGAAAUGUUAUCUAAAUUAUCAAUUAGACAUUAAUUAACUUAUCCAGACCAUAAUAAACUCUCGAUGUCAAGACUAGCCUUCGAUGUUGACUGGAUUAGAUUCCUAUAUGCCGCUAACGGCCAUUGAUAAUUAAAUUUAAAAAAAGUGAUAAUCGAGUCUGGUUUUUAUCCUACCUACUUUAGUAAUGAUGAUCGAGGCUAGACCAAAAAUUCAAUUGCUAAAAUCUCGGUUCAUAGUGGAUCAUUUUGACUGAAAUUUUCAGCAAAUUCAUUUUACAGUAUCUAGAUUUUUAACUAUUAUAGUGAGAACUAGCAGCUCUUUAUUUAAUCUCCCAUAAUGUAUCGUUAAUCAAGUGUUUGGAUAAUCCCUAAUUAAGUACUUCACGCCCCUCUAAUCUGAUUAAGUAACAUGAGCUGAACAUUAAUGUCCACCUGACACAAAGUAAGUCAUUUUGGGGUCCAGCAUAUUGAUCCUUUUCAUUUCAAUAAUACGCGGGUCUCUAGCAGAGGGAGGAAGUUGGAAGACUGGGAGAAAACCCGCAAGGUUAACAAGUGACCCUACUCCUUGUCACGUACAAGCGGAGAAUCGAAACCACGUCACUUGACUCAAUGACAGACCUUAUUAUUUCAUGUGUAUGUUACACAGUGUAUUAAGUAUAAAUGUCUACAGAGAGAGAGAGAAAUGGGGUUUAACGUCCACUCGACACAAACUAGGUCAUUUCGGGACUAACAUAUGGUUUAAUUUUAUUUACAUAAUUCGCUUGCGCGUAGGGGUCUUUAGCAGUGGGAGGAAACCGGAGGACCCGGAGAAAACCCAUGAGGUUGGACAGGCGACCCUACUCCUUGCCACGUACAACCGGGGAUUCGAAACCACGCCAGUCGACUCAAUGACAGACUGUAUGAUACAGCGCGCGCACGCUAACCAUUCAGCCAUCCAACCCCCCAAUGUCUACAGUGUAUUUAAAUUUAUGUAUUAAAGUAGCUAAGUCUCUAACUCAAUAUCAUCUAAAGUCUUACACGUUGAAAAUACGAAUUAUUUGUCAAUUCAAAUCAACAUUGAUGUUGUGAUCUUACCAGGAAAAAGUAGGCUUUUGAUAUCCAAUAUUUAAGACAAAAUAAACAUUUUACCAUUGGUACACGAAUCGUGUACCAUAGUGCGUUUCAGCGUCAUUUGUUACAAGUGACCAGAAAGGACGAGGCUAGAUAUAUUCCACAACUACUGUCAAACGGUAACGCCAUAUCUUAUCUGGAGAGCAUGCGCAAUAGACUUGAAUAACCAGACGCUAGAAAUUGCUAUUCGGUUGAGACUCCUGCCGUAUUUCGCUGGACAUAACUGAUUUGAAAUUAGAGUCAAAACGGAAACAAUUGAAUAUAAAUCAGUUCAUAUACAAUCAGAUUACAUUAUUAUAUGCGUUGCGACCCAUUUGGGUCAAUUUCUAGGUCUCAAAUAUUAGCGAUUUAGCUCCUUUAAAUAAAUGUAUAUGUAAAUAUUAUCUAUUACGAAAUGUUGGUAUUUAUAUUAUGCUAUAUUUAUAUUAAUAACUAUCAUUUGAUGCAUAAUAUAACAAAUGUUGUUUUUGGUCAUUAUGACCCAAAUGUUUUGGGAUUAUUCUAAUAUGUUAUAAUUGUGCAAUCUACUGGAGCCAGUAUUUGUUCAGGGAGUCAAUUAGUGUUGGAUUUGAUCGAAUACUUUUCAGUAUCUGUUAUAAUUGUUUCAAGAAAUUAGAAUAUAUAUUACUGCAUUUUAUUAAUCAGAAGCAAGGUUGAAAGUGUGUUUGGCACAUUCCGCAGAGGACCCCCUAACCACCCUCUUUACCAAUAGUCGCCCGCGCAUGGACUGUCCCCACACCUAAUUUUUGGCGAUCUGACCCUGCCAUUUACUGUAAAGAUGUCACUUACUGUAAAGAUACGACGAUUAAUGUCACUUACUAUAAAGAAACGUAAUUUUAGUUGACAACUAAUUUAAGUGUUUUCAAAAUAAUAAAUUAAAUUAAAAGUUUAUAAUAUAUACUAUUCAAAAAAAGUAGGGGAUAUUUGAUUUUUAAGUGUUAUUAAAGUCACCUAAUGAAACUGACGAAGAAACAAAUGACAAAAUGAAAUGAAGUUCACAUUCAUCGAUUUAUUCCAAAUGAUCGUUAGACUAAGUAAGGCACAGACUGACCAUUAUAAGGGUAAAAUGAUACCCGGGGUCAAACAGCAAAGUUACCACAGCAUCACAACCAAGUCAGUAACGGGUAAAUCCUCCUCUGUUUGCCAAACAAGCAUUGAUCCGACGUGGCAUACUCCUAAUGAGACGUCUAAGGUCAUUUUGGUCCAGAUUGUCCCAUUCCUGUUGCAACGCAGCAGCAAGUUCUUGGACAUUGGCAUGACGUUGUUGACGUUGACGUAACCUCUGUCCAAGCAUGUCCCAGACAUGCUCGAUGGGGGAGAGGUCGGGACUCAGUGCUGGCCAAGGUAAUGUGGUGAUGUUCUGUUGUUGGAGGUAACCUGUAACGAUCCUGGCCCUGUGACAUCUUGCGUUGUCAUCCUGGAAGAUGAAACGGCGGCCAUGACAUCGUGCGAACGGCACAGCAUGGACUGCCAAGAUGUUGUCCCGGUAGUACUGGCCUGUAACACGCCCUGCAACAACAUGUAAAGCCGUUCUUCGAGCAACAGUGAUGCCUCCCCACACCAUAACAGAACCACCCCCAAAUCGAUCAUGUCUGAUGACGUUAACGUCUUGGAAGCGCUCGUUUCGACGACGCCACACCCUCCUACGUCUGUCCAAAAAAUCAACAGUGAACCUUGACUCAUCUGAAAACAUCACAUUGCUCCAGCGUCGAUUAUCCCAGUGUUGGCGAUCCCUACACCAACGACGUCUUGCCUGAAUGUGAUGAUCUCUCAAACAAGGGAUCACGCGAGGACGUCGGGCGCGAAGGUGACCCCUAUGCAGUCGAUUCCGAAUCGUCUGGCCACUCACUCUCACACCAGUGUCUGUUUGAAGACGAGCGCUGAUCUGAUUUGCUGUGAUGACACGAUUUUUCAAGGCCAAGGUACGGAUAAAUCGAUCCUGGGCUUGAGUUGUCGCCCUUGGUCGACCUGAGCGUGGUCUGUCCUGUACAGAUUGUGUAUCACGGUAUCUGGACCAUAGCCUGCUUAUGACAGACUGAGAAACAUUCAUCGUCCGCGCCACAACCGCCUGUGUUGUGCCGAUCUGUAGCAUGCCAAGGGCACGUAACCUUUCAUUUUGGGUAAGCCGACGCAUAUCAAAAUUUGUUUUCUGGUCACUAAAACAAUUAAACUGAUGUUUCCACCCUGGAAUUCAAUGCCACAAUGACUGUAACAUUCAAAGUCAGAGUCGUGCAAAUCUUGGGUUGGACCCCCAUGAUGAUCCCAAGCAUCACCUGCAUUCCAUGCGGUAGCUAUUGGUGCGUUUGGGCGUCACAUGUAACUGGAAAUGUUUCUUCUGUUAGGUUCUAUAGUGACUUUUUUCGUAGUCAUUUGCAUAUUUUAGUAUUAUGCCCCCAAAAUCAAAUAUCCCCUACUUUUUUUGAAUAGUAUAGUAUGGUUUAAAGUCACGCAACGUGAUCUGUUUCUAUUAAUAGAUGUAUUGCCAGUGGUGUGUAAUUUAUAAUAUAGCAUGUUUAAACGUCACGCAUCGUGAUCUGUUUCUAUUAAUAGAUGUAUUGCCAAUGGUGUGUAAUUUAUAAUAUAGCAUGUUUAAACGUCA